rnacentral:lncRNA from 1 species
AGUGAGUCCUGUUCAGCGUGGGAGGAAAUAACACAAGAGGCAAAGAUCACUCGGGACCACCUUGUAUAUUGGCUACCACAGAACCCAACACAAGCAGUAAGUUAAAAUCAUGAAGCUCCUGACGUCAGAGGACAUGGCUCUGCCAUUUGUUAGGUAGGGAUCCUGUUAAAGGCUCAGCUUCCUCAUCUGGAAAUGGAAAUAUAGGCCUUGCCUGGUUUGCUGUAAUGGGUCGUGAUGAGGACCAAACUACAAAGAGUGGUACAGAUGUUAAUUACAAUGAUUUUUCCUAUGCCACCCAUGGAAACAAAAAUAGCAAGAUAGAGAAGGCUAAAUCCCAGUUUUUUUUGACUGCUAUUCAGCAAAGCCUAGGAGACUUUCAUGACACCUGGAGAGGCGGCCGUAGUGUAUGUGUAAGAGUACCGGUUCCAGAGUGGGGCUCCCCGAGCUCAGCCCCACCACUUACCAACAGCGGACCUUGGGCCAGAUGCUGAAGCCCUUUGUGCCUUGGUUUCCUGACCUAUUACUGUGGAAAUGAUGACAGUACCCUCCUCAUGGCAUCGUGAGAAUUAAAUUAGCUAAUUCAGGUGAAGCAUUUAGAAGAGGACCUCCUGACACUUAAUAACUGCUUGAUAUAAAUAAUAGCUUCUGCUACAGAGUGGCCAUGAAGUCUGGACAUGUAGAUAUUAUAUUAUCAUGCAUCAUAAGUUCAGUUCUAUGUCAACAUUCCAAGAAAAUCCAGACUGAGCCUCCUCCUCACCAGUGCUCCUGUCUAGUCCUGGAGGCAGGGGACCUGCUCUGGAAUCUCAGCUCAUGCAGCAAGUACCCGGAUGACUUUAGGCAAAUCAUGUCACCUCGCUAGAUCUCCCUCUCUUCCUCUGGUACAUGGGGCAUCCAUACCUGCCUCACCAGCACUGCAAUGAAUGCUGCUGCACACGCUGUUGAGCUCGUGGACACUUUCCUGCUGGGUGAGGACCCGAACGUGAAAUUGCUGGGUCAUGGAUUCAAGUGCUACACAUAUUUUUGACCACAUUACUGUGACUCAGGAAGCCCAGGAACAGAAUUCUAGGCACCAGAACCAUACAUGUUACAGCCUCUGAGCUUUAUGGCCUCUGAGCCAUUUGUCCAGCCACAUCAUUUGCAGAUGAGAUCCUGAGACUCAGGCUGGAAAAGUGACCGGGGAAAAGUCACACAAGUCAGAGGCAGAGCUGGAGUUUCCUCAUUUCCAGGCCCGUAUAGAUCAAGACGGACGUUGGUCAAACACCUCCUAGUACUCACAUGAAGAAGCUCUCCUUUCUGCUGUAGGAAUGAUCACACACCAUUCCAAUCUGGAUACCAAAUGUCAUUGUUUAUUAAAUGUGUGCAGUGUGCCAGGCA